UAAUUUUAUUUCAUCUUCCCAAAAUUUAUUCUAACUUUUUCUGUUAACUUGUCCAACACCUUAACAUUCAUGGCAUACCCAAUGAAAGAGACCCAAAAGUCUUGUUGAUACUCGUAUUUACAUAAAAAGCCCAAGCAGGCGGCAUUAACGAAAACGUUGGCUUCGAAUCGGACUUCCAAUGUCCACCAACCACCAUUCCGAGAAGAGAACUUUCAAAGCGGACGAUCGUGUGUAAAAAGAAAGUAGCAAAGUGGUUGUGCUCUUUCUCCGACUUCUCUUUUUGUCUCGUUUAUUUGUGGAGAAAAGACUUGGAAGGCAGCAAACCUGACGUGUACAAAGCAAAGCGCAGGCGUAAAGAAUUCAGCAAGAGAGUCUUCGUACACUGAUAAAAAAGAUGACUGUUGAAUGCGAAAUUUUAUAUUUCCUAUAGAAAUGAAAUACAAAAUUAUAUGUAAUAAUA